rnacentral:tRNA from 1 species
GGGGUUGUGGCUCAGAGGUAGAGCGUUUGCCUAGCAUGCAUGGGGCACUGGGUUCGAUCUUCAGCACCACA